UGAAGAAUCUUAGAUUUUCUUGAUGUUCUGUCAGUAAUGUAGCAAUGCAGCAACAUGGAUGUUGAUGCAAACAAAAGCCGGGGCAUGGACGCCACGUCUUUUGUGGUUGCGGGAAGAAAAAAUGUUUUGGCAGAACUUUAGAAAAUGUUAGAUUCGUAA
rnacentral:ncRNA from 1 species